rnacentral:rRNA from 1 species
UGGAGGCAGCAGUGGGGAAUUUUCCGCAAUGGGCGAAAGCCUGACGGAGCAAUACCGCGUGAGGGAGGACGGCUUUUGGGUUGUAAACCUCUUUUAUCAGGGAAGAAGAUCUGACGGUACCUGAUGAAUCAGCAUCGGCUAACUCCGUGCCAGCAGCCGCGGUAAUACGGAGGAUGCAAGCGUUAUCCGGAAUUAUUGGGCGUAAAGCGUCCGUAGGUGGCUAAUCAAGUCUGCUGUCAAAGCGUGGAGCUUAACUCCAUAUCGGCGGUGGAAACUGAUGAGCUAGAGUGCGAUAGGGGCAGCAGGAAUUCCCAGUGUAGCGGUGAAAUGCGUAGAGAUUGGGAAGAACACCAGCGGCGAAAGCGUGCUACUGGGUCUGCACUGACACUGAGGGACGAAAGCUAGGGGAGCGAAAGGGAUUAGAUACCCCUGUAGUCCG